GACGCUGGCGGCGCGCCUAACACAUGCAAGUCGAACGAGCAAGGAGGAGCUUGCUUCUCUGAGCGAGUGGCGAACGGGUGAGUAACGCGUGAGGAACCUGCCUCAAAGAGGGGGACAACAGUUGGAAACGACUGCUAAUACCGCAUAAGCCCACGGCUCGGCAUCGAGCAGAGGGAAAAGGAGCAAUCCGCUUUGAGAUGGCCUCGCGUCCGAUUAGCUAGUUGGUGAGGUAACGGCCCACCAAGGCGACGAUCGGUAGCCGGACUGAGAGGUUGAACGGCCACAUUGGGACUGAGACACGGCCCAGACUCCUACGGGAGGCAGCAGUGGGGAAUAUUGCACAAUGGGGGAAACCCUGAUGCAGCGACGCCGCGUGGAGGAAGAAGGUCUUCGGAUUGUAAACUCCUGUUGUUGAGGAAGAUAAUGACGGUACUCAACAAGGAAGUGACGGCUAACUACGUG
rnacentral:rRNA from 1 species